CAGCCGAGUAGAAAUUCCCCAUGUCUUCAAGAUUUGGUUGGGUGUUAUCCCCAGUCCAGAGAUGUACUGGGCCGUGUGGAAUGUUCUCAAUAGAACCAGCACCAGGGUCUGUUUCAUCGCCGGCACGAUAAGAACUUCCGAAAAAGAGCUUAGCAGUCUUGCCAUUAGAAACCAUUUGCCUGUACAUUAUGGUAAGAUUGCUAGAUAGUUGAGCUUGGUUUGAUGUGGGGUUUUCAGUUCCAUUGUAAUCAAGAUCAACUAGUGUUGGUGGCUG
rnacentral:misc_RNA from 1 species